rnacentral:rRNA from 1 species
UACGGAGGGUGCAAGCGUUAUCCGGAUUCACUGGGUUUAAAGGGUGCGUAGGUGGGGUGGUAAGUCAGUGGUGAAAUCUCCGAGCUUAACUUGGAAACUGCCAUUGAUACUAUCAUUCUUGAAUAUUGUGGAGGUCAGCGGAAUAUGUCAUGUAGCGGUGAAAUGCUUAGAUAUGACAUAGAACACCAAUUGCGAAGGCAGCUGGCUACACAUAUAUUGACACUGAGGCACGAAAGCGUGGGGAUCAAACAGGA